CACCGGGACGGUGAAUUUUGAAAGAGGGGGUGGAUGUAACCGGAAUGCGCAUGCUAUGCCUUUAAGGGGCAGGUGAUGCGAUCAAACAGGUAGCCUUUAAAGUCUCGUGGGAUUUAAUGAAAUUACGUUUGUUCUCGGGUUUCGCUUGAUAAACGAGUGUGUGGGCCGUUCUCGGGCGCGUUGGAAGAACUGCUUAUGUGAUUGCUGCUCUCCACAAGUUUGAUUGUUUUGUUCGCUGACAACCUACUGAUCUGAGAGCGCUGUGUGCAUGCAUUUCUGCAUUGGGGUAACAACGUUCGCUUUUGUUCUCCACUUUAUGAAUGAGUGCGUGUGUGUGGCGUUCUUUCGCAUUGGAAGAACUGCUCAUGCGAGUGCUGCUCUCGACAAGUGGUGAUUAAGUUGUGCUGACGGCCUUUGAUCUGAAAGCGCUGUGCGCAUGCAACUCUGCGUUAGGGUUCAGUCAUCUGAGUGUGAGUGUAUGAUUAAAAUGACGAGUUGUAAUUUAUACAAAAUGUGGUAAAGUAAAAUAAAUAAAUUUAGCAUAUGUUAUUUUAGGGUAAACUUGUGUCUAUACAGAGUUACGAGUACCAGCAUUCAUGGUGGAUCCUUGGGAGUGAUUGUGUGGUAACACUUCUGCCUUUAAUGAGACUGUUACGGUUUGGUCAACAUAAUGAGUGAUAGCGUACUAUGAGACGGUAUGUGAGAAUUUUAUGUGUAUUUUAAGGUGUAAUAUGAUUGUUUUGGUGAAUAAAAAUGUGAACUGGUUUUAAUUACAGGUUUCAAAUUCUCCUUCAGUUAUUGCUACCGUUUCCUUUCCAGCUAAACUUUAUUUAGCUUUAUUUAGUUUAAAAUUGGUUAAUGUGUUUUCAUUUGAUUUAUAAUUUUUUUCUUUUUUUCUUGUGCAAUCUUUAAUUAGCCGAUUGGUUUAUCACUACAUGGGAGGUCUUCUUUUGCUUUUGUGAUUUUUGGUUUUUCUGUGUUCACGUGUGGUUUGAACGUUUUGAUUCAUUUUGGUUUUGUUUCCUCCCGUGUGGCGUUAUCCAGUCUAUGAUUUAAGGUUGUUUUGUUGGUUUGUUUGUUUGUUUGUUUGUUUGCUAUUAUAUCUGUAGUUUUUUUUCAGCAUUGGAUUUACUUUUCCAUCCAAAUUUACUAUUUUCUCUAAUAUUUGAAUCCUAAAUUUGGUUAUUGAAAUAUUGAAUUUAUUGCUUGUUUUGUGCUGUUUAUUUGAUUAAGCUUCUUUUGAAUUCGUUAAUUCUUUUGUUUCUUUAAAUGUUGAGUUUAAUAAUAAUUUUGUUUGUGUAAAUUGGCUUUCCUUGUCUUUAA